rnacentral:lncRNA from 1 species
GUUCAUCCCUGCAGAAUUUCUAAGUCCCCCCGUUUCAUGGGGGAGCAAACUGGCUUGAGGGUGGAGUUUGUGGCAGAGAAAGACGUGUGCGUGACCGGUUACCUGGACUUUGUCCCUUUGUCCCGUGGCAAACCUGUCCUCUGAAGGCUCAUUUUACUGAUAAGCUUGAGCACUGAACAAGCCGCCCGGAUGGCCUGCUUCCAGCGUGGCAGAAGCUCCAAAGAACUAAGAUGCAAAGCCUUCCCAGGAACGUUUCUCUGGAGAGGCCCCAGUUAACUCUAGAUGAGACCUUUGCCUCCUGGUCACUAGUCAAGAAUGUUCCAGGUGGAUCCCCAAGCCAGCAACACUUUGACCUUGGACAAAAUCCCUGAAUGACCUUGGGCCAGGCACUUAGCCUAUCUGAUUUCCUUCUUUUGCUCACUAAGAAAAACUUUUGUAGUGGGAAAAAAGCACAAAACCAAGGAUAUCUGAUCAUUCAUCUUCCAGCCACGUUGUGCCUCAGUUUCCUCCUCUAAAAAAUUAGUGGAACAGGCCUGAGGCCCUUGGGGGCCAAGGGUCUCUAAUAGCCUUCUCCUCGUGGAGCUCAGGAAUGCCCUCUGGCAAAAGUGUGAAAUAGUUGACGUUUGAAUUCUGUGAGCUCCAUCCCACCACACUUGCCUGAUGCCCUCCUGCUGAACUCUGAGCGCCUCCCCCCCCAUUGCCAGACACUUGACUGAGUAAAAAGCCUGGUUAUUAUACCAAGUGAUAUAGCAAGGUAUAUGUAUACAUACAUAUAAAGAGAGAGAAUAUUAUGUACAUAUGAAUAUCACUUGUACCAAAAAUGACAAGAUGAAUUUGUGCUUUUUUAAAAAAGGUUCAGAAUGUCCUCAUAGCUGAUUUUAGAGACCACAUCCAGGACUCCCAUGCCAAAUGCCAUUAUGUGUCUAGUGUUUGGAACUAUCUGCUCGUCCUGACUUGGAAGCAAGUUUAUUUAUUCAGCAUAAAAGGAAGUAUUUGAACUCACUCACAGAGUGUGAGUCUCUGCAACUUUUAAAAGCAGCAAGACCGGACAGACGACUUUGAGGCCUUUGGAGACGACUUUUGAGAGACAUAUUUCUCUGUUCUGAAUACCACCUUGCUACCUUAACUGGACAAUUAUAGCUAUCCAAGAGCUCAGCGUUAAAAAGGACAUGCAUUUUAGUUAAUAAAGAUAACAUAUUUAAAUGAUAAAAAUGAGCCUUUUUCCCCCCUAAAAUUCCCGUCUAUUGCCUUCUUCAUUCGGUUAGUUAGUUUUGAAACACUCUUGUGAAACUAACCAUGUAAACAAUGUUUUUAUGAAUAUCACAAGAUCAUCCAGGUGAACAGAACAACUUUCCCCAUCCCACUCUGACUACUUUGCCUGGGUUAUUUAGACCCAGCUGGCCUUUUGGAAUAACAGUUUUGCAAAAAAACGUAAUAAUAAUAGGGCAAGAGCAGAAUGGAACUGCAAGCUGCUGUAGGGCACGGCGCCUGGUUUACAGCCUUUCUUUCCAGCCACCUCAACAUUUAGCAUGGAGUCCCCCAUCAAGGAGGUGUCAGAGAAAUUGUCAAACAUGCAGAGGAAUUGAACAGCAGAGAAGUUCAGGUACUGCUUAAGUACAGGAUGCAUGAGAAUUAAAAUCAAACAGCAGGCAGGCAGGACGGCUGCCCACAAGCCCAGCUCCAGUGACUCCCGCCCCGGGCAGAGGGCGCAGCCAUCCUUCCGCAUCUCAGCGAGUCUCAUCGGUUGUUUUGAAGCACCUCUCCCAGUGACCCUUCAGGGCACAGUUUCACAGGGUUCCUAACUCAUCUUCCUCUAGGUGACUAUUUGGCUCUCCUACCCUCAGGUGAAGAAGCUAAAUGAUUCUCUUAAAGCCCCUCCCGGCUGCUUCUUUUCUUCCAAGCAGGUAAUCGUUUUGAACACUUCCCUCUGGAGUCUCCCCUCAUCCUUAUGGCCUUCCAUUAAUCAUUUAGAAGCUGCGAAUGGAGGAAGGACAUGGCACAGUAAAUUCUGUCAAAGCUCUCUUCUUCUAAGCCAGCGAGUGGAAACCAGCAUGGCACUCUGCCCCAGACAGUUUCGUUGAAGCUACCCUCAGCUCAGCACCUCCUCUGACCCUGAGGGUUUUUCUUUUUCUAUUCUUAGGCAUAACCCGUCAUUCCCCCACCUAUAUUUAUACAGCUUGGGUUUUUCCUGAUUCCUCUCUUUUGCCCUGGUCCCUAGACUGUGGAGCGAUUAGAAUGUGUGGAUGUCACUUUUGCUCCCUGUUGUGGUUCCUGGAGCUGGAGCUGCUGCUGUGUGAACCGCUGUUACAAGGUUUCCUCCAGCUGAAUUCAUUCUUACCACAUGGUCCUGUCCACAGUGGGCAGCUCCUAAGAAAGACAAAACCAUAAUUUCGUUUUGUUUCAUGAGACUAUUUCUAGAGGUUGAACUGGUUGGCUUGUUGGAAUGAACGACCUUGCACUGAAAGCAUGGAAGUGACUUUCCAAGAGGCUCCAAGGUGCUUUUUCCUUCUCAGAAAUGUCACGCUUGACUCUCUCUCUGAAUUCCAACCAAUAUUUUAUAUAAUUCUGCUAUGCUGGUGUUCUGUUCUUUUCUGG